CCUGGUGACUAUGCCGGAGGGGGUACACCCGUUCCCAUUCCGAACACGGCAGUUAAGCCCUCCAGGGCCGACGAUACUUCAUGGGCAACUGUGCGGGAAAAUAGGUCGUCGCCAGGU
rnacentral:rRNA from 1 species